rnacentral:rRNA from 1 species
CCUACGGGAGGCAGCAGUGAGGAAUAUUGGUCAAUGGGCUGACGCCUGAACCAGCCAAGUCGCGUGAGGGAAGACUGCCCUAUGGGUUGUAAACCUCUUUUGUCAGGGAGCAACGCCGGCUACGUGUAGCCGGACUGAGAGUACCUGAAGAAAAAGCAGCGGCUAACUCCGUGCCAGCAGCCGCGGUAAUACGGAGGAUGCGAGCGUUAUCCGGAUUUAUGGGGUUUAAAGGGUGCGUAGGCGGAAUGCCAAGUCAGCGGUAAAAUCGCGGGGCUCAACCUCGCUCCGCCGUUGAAACUGGCGUUCUUGAGUGGGCGAGAAGUAUGCGGAAUGCGUGGUGUAGCGGUGAAAUGCAUAGAUAUCACGCAGAACUCCGAUUGCGAAGGCAGCAUACCGGCGCCCAACUGACGCUGAAGCACGAAAGCGUGGGUAUCGAACAGGAUUAGAUACCCCUGUAGUC